UACGGAGGGGGCUAGCGUUGUUCGGAAUUACUGGGCGUAAAGCGUGCGCAGGCGGUUUUGUAAGCCAGAUGUGAAAUCCCCGGGCUCAACCUGGGAAUGGCAUUUGGGACUGCAAGGCUGGAGUACGGCAGAGGAGACUGGAAUUCCUGGCGUAGCAGUGAAAUGCGUAGAUAUCAGGAGGAAUACCGAUGGCGAAGGCAGGUCUCUGGGCUGAUACUGACGCUCAUGCACGAAAGCGUGGGGAGCAAACAGG
rnacentral:rRNA from 1 species